UAAUUGAAACCAAAACAUUAGAGGUCUAUCACUGUUAAUGAUAAAAAUGAAUUUUUCCAAUUAAAG
rnacentral:tRNA from 1 species